UUAAGUUCAGCGGGUAUUCCUACCUGAUUCGAGGUCAACUCUUAAAAAAAGUUGGGCGUUUUACGGCAGUGGCCGCGCCGCGCUCCUGAUGCGAGGUUGUGCUACUACGCAGAGGAGGCCGCGACGAGACCGCCAAUUCAUUUCGGGGGCGGCGCCGAGGGAAGGGGGACAAGUCCCCAAAGCCUCUGUACUCGCCGGUC
rnacentral:misc_RNA from 1 species